GUGAGCAAGCCAGGACGAGGUAAAUAAAACCAAAGCGAUCUACUUGAAGGUUGGAGAACAUCCCUAAGACCCAGACUUGGGAACCUCCCAGCCACCAGGAAAAUAAUCUUGUUCUUGGCGUUUAUUCACAAGGAGCCAGGUGGAGAUGAAUACAACCAUACUCCAAGGCAUCCAGGUUGAGGCCUGCUACCAGCAGGAACAUGGAGCACCAUACUCCAAUGCAUCCAGGUUGAGGCCUGCUACCAGCAGGAACAUGGAGCACCAUACUCCAAUGCAUCCAGGUUGAGGCCUGCUACCAGCAGGACCUCCAAACGCAAUAAAGUUUGGUAUAAACUA